AGUAAUACAGUUAAAAUUAUAAGAUAGUAAAUUUUUAAAAAAUGAUAAACUAUGUGGAAGCUAGUAUAUAACUAAUUUUUUUUUAUUUUAAUUUUUUUUGAGAGAUUGAUAAGACGUUACCUGCUUCGUUUAUUUCAUUUAUUUUAAUUUUUUUAUUUUAAUUUUUUUAUUUUAAUAAUAUAUAAUUUAGUCCACGUAUAGGGAUGUCAAUUGGUAUGGAUAUCCGAAAUUUUAUCCAAAUCCGAACCCGAAUGAAACAGAUAUAUCCGAUGCUAAAUAGGUAUGGAAUAUUCGGAUAUGGAUAUCAAAAAUAAAAACCCGACAGAUAUGAAUUCAGAUAUGAAUAUCAAAAAUAGAAACCCGACGAUAUUGAUCGAUAUUAAUUUUGACUAGUACCCAUCGAACCCCGAAUCCGACCGAAACCGAAUAGUUAUGUUGUAUUAUAUAUAUAUAUUAUAUAUAAUAUAUAGUAUAUACUAAUAAUAUAUAUAUAUAUUUGAUGUUAUAUUUGAAUUUUAUUUUAAAAAUUUAUAUUUAAUAUAAUAUAUUUUAAAAUAUUGAAAAAAAAAUUAUUAUUUCGGGUUAAUAUUUUCGGGUUCGAAUUCAGAUUUCAAAUUUUUGGUCGGGUUCGGGUUUGGAUAUGAAUUUUUAAAAUCCGUCGAGUUCGGAUUCAGAUUCGGGUUCGGGUUUGGAGCCGGGUUCAGGUUCGAAUUUUUGAAAAUCCGUCCCGAAUUCAAUCCGUUGACAUCUCU
rnacentral:lncRNA from 1 species